rnacentral:rRNA from 1 species
GCGAACACGUGAGUGCAAGCAAAUCUCAAAAAUAACGUCUCAGUUCGGAUUGUAGUCUGCAACUCGACUACAUGAAGCUGGAAUCGCUAGUAAUCGCGAAUCAGAAUGUCGCGGUGAAUACGUUCCCGGGUCUUGUACACACCGCCCGUCACACCAUGGGAGUCAGUAACGCCCGAAGUCAGUGACCCAACCAUAAGGAGGGAGCUGCCGAAGGUAGGAUUGGCGACUGGGGUGAAGUCGUAACAAGGUAAC